GGGCAGGCUGGUGUUUCACCUCUUACUGUAACUCAAGUUGUAUUGUUGAGAAACAAGCCAGACCGUGUCCAUCUCCGACCCCAACUACAGUCAGCACUGUCUCAACUACAGUCAGCACUGUCUCAACUACAGUCAGCACUGUCUCAACAACAACAGAAGCUACACGUUCUACAACAUCUAGAUUGUCCCCGACUACACCUUCCAGAGGCUGUGAAUAUGUCAAUCCACCAAGAAAGGAUGGUGAAACUUGGAAAACAGGCAACUGCACUACUCAAACGUGCAACAGGGGUGUAAUUACCACAACGUUUGUGGCCUGUGAGUCUGUACAACAGCCUGUGUGUGAAAAUGGAUUUCCACCAGUGAAAGUCUAUGACGAAUCAGGUUGCUGCUAUCGCUACGAAUGUCAAUGUAUAUGCUAUGGAUGGGGAGACCCUCAUUACGUCA